UGGCUCAGCGGGUAAGAGCACUGACUGCUCUUUCAGAGGUCCUGAGUUCAAAUCUCAG
rnacentral:tRNA from 1 species